rnacentral:tRNA from 1 species
GGAGGUGUAGUUCAACUGAUUAGAACAUCAGUCUCCAAAACUGAUUGUGUGGGUUCGAGUCCUAUCACCUCUG